rnacentral:rRNA from 1 species
ACGUAGGGGGCAAGCGUUGUCCGGAAUUACUGGGCGUAAAGCGCACGCAGGCUGAAUUAUAAGUCGGUAGUCAAAGGCGGAGGCUCAACUUCCGUAUAUCUAUCGAUACUGUAAAUCUAGAGUAUGUGAGAGGGAAGCGGAAUUCCCGGUGUAGCGGUGCAAUGCGUAGAUAUCUGGAGGGACACCAAUGGCGAAGGCAGCUUCCUGGGACAAUACUGACGCGCAUGUGUGAAACCUCGGGCAGCGAACAG